AUUCAUUAAUUUACGUGCAUUCCUGAAAGGCCUGACAAAGGCAUUACGUUUCUUCAACUUUUCUCAAUGCAGGACAGGAGCUGCUGGGUCAGCACACAGAUGCCUCAUCAUCCAACUGUGUUUUCAUCCUUGUUGGACACUGUGCAGCUGUAUUGGUUAGCUAUGCAACAAAUACAACUGGCAUGCAUUGGCAUGGCACUGUCAUAUGCAACUCAAUGAACCUGCUGCAGGAAUCAGCAUCUGAGAAGCUGUUUAGUUUUGGCACAAAAUGAAGAAGAACGCUGUGAAACGCUUCCAAGCCGAAUGUCUGGUCUGUCGAUGACAGCUUAGGAACAUCCUUGAGCAGUGUAGGAGCCAUCAAGAUGUCAUGUAACCGCAUUUCCUUACCUUCCUUCACCCACUCCCUUGGUGAGGACAGUGGACCGUGGUAGCAGACAGGGUAAAGAGGGUCUUCAUGUACAUGAAUGUCAACAAUGUGGUUCAUUACUGACACCCAUUUUGCCAGGCAGAGAUCCCCAUCAUCAGCGCUCGUUUUGGGGCACCAGUAGGCACGUCGGACAAUACUUUCGAUCCACAGCUGCACCACUUGGUGCUUUGCUGUGCGACCGAGAGCAAGAAGUUUCUUCUUGAUGCCUGAUAUAAACAAAAAUGUAACAACAAACUGCAAGCUUUAUGUUCACUCUGAUUUCACCUUUGACAACAUGCCAGACAUCAAAUCGAUGCUUUAUGUGGGGGCACAGAUCUCGCAUCAUG